UGGGGAAUAUUGCACAAUGGGCGCAAGCCUGAUGCAGCCAUGCCGCGUGUGUGAAGAAGGCCUUCGGGUUGUAAAGCACUUUCAGCGAGGAGGAAGGUGGUGAGCUUAAUACGCUCAUCAAUUGACGUUACUCGCAGAAGAAGCACCGGCUAACUCCGUGCCAGCAGCCGCGGUAAUACGGAGGGUGCAAGCGUUAAUCGGAAUUACUGGGCGUAAAGCGCACGCAGGCGGUUUGUUAAGUCAGGUGUGAAAUCCCCGGGCUCAACCUGGGAACCGCAUUUGAAACUGGCAAGCUAGAGUCUCGUAGAGGGGGGUAGAAUUCCAGGUGUAGCGGUGAAAUGCGUAGAGAUCUGGAGGAAUACCGGUGGCGAAGGCGGCCCCCUGGACGAAGACUGACGCUCAGGUGCGAAAAGCGUGGGGAGCAAAACAGGAUUAGAUACCCUGGUAGUCCACGCUGUAAAACGAUGUCGAUUUUGGAGGUUGUGCCCCUUGAGGCGUGGCUUCCGGAGCUAACGCGUUAAAUCGACCGCCUGGGGAGUACGGCCGC
rnacentral:rRNA from 1 species